GACAGAGGUGCCGAGCGUUUAGGCGGAAUCACUGGGCUUAAAGCGUGUGUAGGCGGACUUGUAAGUACCUUGUGAAAUCCCACAGCUCAACUGUGGAACUGCUUGGUAUACUGCUUGUCUUGAGCCACUUAGGGGCAGUCGGAACAGACGGUGGAGCGGUGAAAUGCGUAGAUAUCGUCUGGAACGCCAAAGGUGAAAAACAGACUGCUGGGAGUGGUGCUGACGCUGAGGAGCGAAAGCAUGGGGGAGCGAACAGG
rnacentral:rRNA from 1 species